GGAACGCAGCCCCUCCAGACUACUUCAGACUUCCAAUCUCCAAAACUGUGCAAACACCAUACACGACAGAAGCUGAAAACUCACAGAAGCUGAAAACCAUGGGAGGCAGCAGAUCUCGAGCGCUUGAAAUAGACACCUUAUUGAAUCCGUGUUGUUGAUUCAUCACUAUUGAACUCCCAGCCAACACCACUGUCACUCCUGCCUGAACGAAGCUCAUCUAACACACGUGUUUUCUCCAUAAGAUGCAUCUCGGCCUUCUUGUGCUUAGGAACGUUAGACAGGUCUUCAGUGCUACACUUGGGGUCCUUUUAAACAGUGAAAUCACCAACAAGAAGCACAAAAUGCCAAAAACAUUGCACUAAAUAGCCCUUGAGAAGGACCCGUUUUUAGUAUGAGAGCUGAAACAAGAAAGCAGAGGAUCGCCUCUUUCCUCCUCAGCUGGGAAUGUGGGUGUCGGGCGACUCAGAUGUUUCACUCUUCUAUUGCCUUUAACAACGUCUUUGAGCCCCGGCAGCUCAACUUCACCCUGGACUCAGAGCAGGAACCCAGUGUGAUUGCACUGUAAUUAGACUGUUUGUGUUGGAAAGGAAAUUGUCCCUGUCGCGUACAGCCUGCUGGACUAACACAGUGAAACCCCGAGAUGAAUUACAGAUCCAACAGGAAGCCUACUCUUCAUGCCCCAGCCUGGCUGAUGAAGUGCGGAGGCUGACAGUGUCAGAAGCUUACCUACAGACAUCCGUCUCGUUGAUAGAUUUGCUUCUCCUUGCAGCUCUUUCCAACAUUUGUAGCAACAUCUUUAAUUUAUUGUCCUCUGGCUUUGCUAGGGGAGCACUGAGUUCUGCCAGGUAGCAGAAUGUAAAAGCCAUGCCAAAUGGAUGCUUGAGUGAAUGUUGACUCGCUGCCUCUGCUGGAGCCCCUUCCUAAUUUGCCAUCACCCAGCUAAUCCUCCAAGGGACUUUUGUUCCAAGGUUGCCUUCCGCCUUCCAGCUGCUGCCCUGAAUCAUCGCACCAUCAAAAGUCAUCUUCAGCAGGAUCAGCCCCUGAACUGAAUUAACAGUGCCCUGCGUGUCGAAGCCUGCAAUCUCCACCAUCUUUCUGAAGUAUUUGGUGUUUAUAUUUUGGGCAGAAGAAGAGGUUAAAUUGGAUGCAGCAAAUAACUACCACAGAGUAGCUUAUGCAUGUGGGGACUCAUACCAUUACAUAAUCACAGGCAUCCACCUUUCUACUUAGAGAAAAGUUAACCCCAGGGGAAGUGAGCAAAGGCUUGAGUAUUUAUAAGAAAUGACUGUGUGGCUCUCCAGGACUGCUGGUAAAUAUUUUAGUUAUAGGUACGUUUUCAACGAUUAAUGACAGUAUGUGUGGGCAGGAAGUGGAGUCACCGUGAGAAGUUGGAAUAACAUUCUAGGACUGUAAAUUCUUAAUGAGCUUGUACACACAUACACACAUGUACA